AGGAAAAGAAACCAACAGGGAUUGCCCUAGUAACGGCGAGUGAAGCGGCAACAGCUCAAAUUUGAAACCUGGCGCAAGCCCGGAUUGUAAUUUGUAGAGGAUGCUUCUGGGCAGCGGCCGUUCUAAGUUCCUUGGAACAGGACGUCAUAGAGGGUGAGAAUCCCGUAUGUGACCGGCGCGCACCCUCCACGUAGCUCCUUCGACGAGUCGAGUUGUUUGGGAAUGCAGCUCUAAAUGGGAGGUAAAUUUCUUCUAAAGCUAAAUACCGGCCAGAGACCGAUAGCGCACAAGUAGAGUGAUCGAAAGAUGAAAAGCACUUUGGAAAGAGAGUUAAAAAGCACGUGAAAUUGUUGAAAGGGAAGCGCUUGCAACCAGACUCCGCGGCGGUGUUCCGCCGGUCUUCUGACCGGUCCACUCGCCGCCGUGGGGCCAACAUCGUCUGGGGCCGCCGGAUAAGACCCGAGGAAUGUAGCUCAUUGAGUGUUAUAGCCUCGGGGGAUGCGGCGCGCCCCGGGCGAGGUCCGCGCCUCGGCAAGGAUGUUGGCGUAAUGGUUGUCAGCGGCCCGUCUUGAAACACGGACCAAGGAGUCUAACAUCUAUGCGAGUGUUCGGGUGUCAAACCCCUACGCGUAAUGAAAGUGAACGGAGGUGGGAACCGCAAGGUGCACCAUCGACCGAUCCUGAUGUCCUCGGAUGGAUUUGAGUAAGAGCAUAGCUGUUGGGACCCGAAAGAUGGUGAACUAUGCCUGAAUAGGGUGAAGCCAGAGGAAACUCUGGUGGAGGCUCGCAGCGGUUCUGACGUGCAAAUCGAUCGUCAAAUUUGGGUAUAGGGGCGAAAGACUAAUCGAACCAU
rnacentral:rRNA from 1 species